rnacentral:tRNA from 1 species
ACCGCUCAGUUGGGAGAGAACGUUAGACUACAAAUUGAAAAGUCCCUGGUUCGAUCCCGGGUUCCGGCA